UACGUAGGGACCAAGCGUUGUUCGGAUUUACUGGGCGUAAAGGGCGCGUAGGCGGUCUGACAGGUCACUUGUGAAAUCUCCGAGCUUAACUCGGAACGGCCAAGUGAAACCAACAGACUAGAGUGCAGAAGGGGCAAUCGGAAUUCUUGGUGUAGCGGUGAAAUGCGUAGAUAUCAAGAGGAACACCUGAGGUGAAGACGGGUUGCUGGGCUGACACUGACGCUGAGGCGCGAAAGCCAGGGGAGCAAACGGG
rnacentral:rRNA from 1 species